GACGAACGCUGGCGGCGUGCUUAACACAUGCAAGUCGAACGGAAAGGCCCUGCUUUUGUGGGGUGCUCGAGUGGCGAACGGGUGAGUAACACGUGAGUAACCUGCCCUUGACUUUGGGAUAACUUCAGGAAACUGGGGCUAAUACCGGAUAGGAGCUCCUGCUGCAUGGUGGGGGUUGGAAAGUUUCGGCGGUUGGGGAUGGACUCGCGGCUUAUCAGCUUGUUGGUGGGGUAGUGGCUUACCAAGGCUUUGACGGGUAGCCGGCCUGAGAGGGUGACCGGCCACAUUGGGACUGAGAUACGGCCCAGACUCCUACGGGAGGCAGCAGUGGGGAAUAUUGCACAAUGGGCGGAAGCCUGAUGCAGCAACGCCGCGUGCGGGAUGACGGCCUUCGGGUUGUAAACCGCUUUCGCCUGUGACGAAGCGUGAGUGACGGUAAUGGGUAAAGAAGCACCGGCUAACUACGUGCCAGCAGCCGCGGUGAUACGUAGGGUGCGAGCGUUGUCCGGAUUUAUUGGGCGUAAGGGCUCGUAGGUGGUUGAUCGCGUCGGAAGUGUAAUCUUGGGGCUUAACCCUGAGCGUGCUUUCGAUACGGGUUGACUUGAGGAAGGUAGGGGAGAAUGGAAUUCCUGGUGGAGCGGUGGAAUGCGCAGAUAUCAGGAGGAACACCAGUGGCGAAGGCGGUUCUCUAGGCCUUUCCUGACGCUGAGGAGCGAAAGCGUGGGGAGCGAACAGGCUUAGAUACCCUGGUAGUCCACGCUGUAAACGGUGGGUACUAGGUGUGGGGUCCAUUCCACGGGUUCCGUGCCGUAGCUAACGCUUUAAGUACCCCGCCUGGGGAGUACGGCCGCAAGGCUAAAACUCAAAGGAAUUGACGGGGCCCCGCACAAGCGGCGGAGCAUGCGGAUUAAUUCGAUGCAACGCGUAGAACCUUACCUGGGUUUGACAUGGAUCGGGAGUGCUCAGAGAUGGGUGUGCCUCUUUUGGGGUCGGUUCACAGGUGGUGCAUGGCUGUCGUCAGCUCGUGUCGUGAGAUGUUGGGUUAAGUCCCGCAACGAGCGCAACCCUUGUUCACUGUUGCCAGCACGUUAUGGUGGGGACUCAGUGGAGACCGCCGGGGUCAACUCGGAGGAAGGUGGGGAUGACGUCAAGUCAUCAUGCCCCUUAUGUCCAGGGCUUCACGCAUGCUACAAUGGCUGGUACAGAGAGUGGCGAGCCUGUAAGGGUGAGCGAAUCUCGGAAAGCCGGUCUCAGUUCGGAUUGGGGUCUGCAACUCGACCUCAUGAAGUCGGAGUCGCUAGUAAUCGCAGAUCAGCAACGCUGCGGUGAAUACGUUCCCGGG
rnacentral:rRNA from 1 species